CGUCUGGGCAGGAUAAGUGCUGAAAGCAUCUAAGCACGAAGCCGGCUCCGAGAUUAGGUCUCGCCAAGGGUCGUCGCAGACUACGACGUUGAUAGGCCGCAGGUGCAAGCGUGGUGACGCGUUCAGCCGAGCGGUACUAAUUGCCCGCAGUUCCGGAAAA
rnacentral:rRNA from 1 species